UCGAGAAUCUUCGGCAAUGGGCGCAAGCCUGACCGAGCGACGCCGCGUGGAGGAUGAAGGCCUUCGGGUUGUAAACUCCUGUCGAGGGGGAAAAAGGGCCGCAAGGCCUUGAUUGAUCCCUGGAGGAAGCACGGGCUAAGUUCGUGCCAGCAGCCGCGGUAAGACGAACCGUGCGAACGUUAUUCGGAAUCAUUGGGCUUAAAGCGCGUGUAGGCGGAUUCGUGCGUCUGUCGCUGAAAUCCCCCGGCUCAACCGGGGAACGGGCGCGGAUACGACGAGUCUGGAGGGGCAUAGGGGGACCUGGAACUUCCGGUGGAGCGGUGAAAUGCGUUGAGAUCGGAAGGAACGCCCGUGGCGAAAGCGAGGUCCUGGAUGCCUACUGACGCUGAGACGCGAAAGCCAGGGGAGCGAACG
rnacentral:rRNA from 2 species